CGUGCAAGUCGAACGAGAAAGGGGAGCAAUCCCUGAGUACAGUGGCGUACGGGUGAGUAACACGUGGAUGAUCCACCUCCUGGUGGGGAAUAACUUUGGGAAACCGAAGCUAAUACCGCAUCAGCCUGCAAAGGGAAAGCUUCUCGCAAGAGGGGCGCCGGGAGAGGAGUCCGCGGCUGAUUAGCUAGUUGGUGAGGUAAAGGCUCACCAAGGCAAUGAUCGGUAGCCGGCCUGAGAGGGCACACGGCCACACUGGCACUGAAACACGGGCCAGACUCCUACGGGAGGCAGCAGUGGGGAAUCUUGCACAAUGGGGGCAACCCUGAUGCAGCGACGCCGCGUGCGUGAUGAAGCCCUUCGGGGUGUAAAGCGCUUUCGACGGGAACGAUAAUGACGGUACCCGGAGAAGAAGCUGCGGCUAACUACGUGCCAGCAGCCGCGGUAAUACGUAGGCAGCAAGCGUUGUUCGGAGUUACUGGGCGUAAAGAGUAUGUAGGCGGUGCUUUAAGUUUGGUGUGAAAUCUCCCGGCUUAACUGGGAGGGUGCGCCGAAGACUGGAGUGCUGGAGUGUGGGAGAGGAAAGCGGAAUUCCUGGUGUAGCGGUGAAAUGCGUAGAUAUCAGGAGGAACACCGGUGGUGUAGACGGCUUUCUGGACCACUACUGACGCUGAGAUACGAAAGCGUGGGGAGCAAACAGGAUUAGAUACCCUGGUAGUCCACGCCCUAAACGAUGCACACUUGGUGUGAGCCAUUCAGUUGGUUUGUGCCGGAGCUAACGCGUU
rnacentral:rRNA from 1 species